AUGAAUGGUGAAGUAGAUGAAUAUUGGAGAUUAGAGAGUGAUCAUGGAGAGAGGGUAGCAAAGAGAGUUUUUCUCCUUGUUAUUUUCUGGUUUUUGUUAGAGGCUAAAGCGGUUAGGAUAUGGUUGGAUGUUAGUUGGUUCAGUUAUGCAGGGCUGAUUAUUGCUAGCAAUUCUGUUUGGUUCUGUUAUGUUUGGUUAGGACCUAUUGGAAAAUUUUCGGUUUUAUGUUAUGUGCAGCGGAAUCGGUUUAUUGGUUAUUGUGAAUUGGACCUAGCUCAACGUCCCAUGGUGCAAAGUUGCAAGGCAAUGGUUUUGAAAUAUGAGGCCUAA